GUAAGAGGUCCAUCCAGAACUGUUAGAUUUGAAAAAACAUAUUUGUUUUUGUAAGAUAGAUGUUUAAAUUUACAGGUCGUGUUGGAUUUAAAUUCCAGAAACAAAUCUAGGAUUACCAAACUAUGGAAGAAACGAUGCCAAAUUUAGCGACAUAAAUAUAAAUGACUCGAGCAAAUGCCAUUGGAUUUGGGGUUUUGUUGUUUGUUUUUUGUGCGAUUUGGGGUUUUGUUGUCUAAUCUCUAUCCAUUGUUUGCUUUACAGGUAUCCUCAAAAUUGUAGUUGAUUGACACAACAUAUUUUACUGGCGUCGCUUCUUUUGCUCCUGGUGGCAGUUAAGAAAUUUAUUAUUUGAUGUUUUUACAAACAAUAUUGCUCUUCUUCUUCUUUUUUAAGUUUUCAUGAUUCAUUGAUUCAUCCCUUCUUCUUUUUGUUCUGGUCAAUUUUUGAGUUGACUUGACUGUAGAUUCAAACACUGCGCCAAAGUGUUCGUUUAUUCGUCUACGGGAUGAAAUGAACGAUGUUUUUUUUUUUUUUUUUUUUCAAUUAUUUCACUAAUGUUUAGGUUUUCACUAAUGGUUGUUGCUCCGAUUUUGUUUUUGUUACUUAAAUCAAUACUAAUUCAUGUGUUUUGAUGUGUAGAGAGGAAUUAGUUAGUAAGGAGACAUUUGAUGGAGUUGGUGUUUCUUCUUCUUCCCAUUUUCUUUUUCUGAGUUUCACUCCUUUUUAUCAGUUUGAUUUUAAUUUUGUUUUUUUUGAUCCGAAUUUAAUUUUGUUUGAUGAUUAUUUAUUUUUAUUUAGAAAACGCGUUACUUUUAUUACGAUCUAUGCUUGAUUUAGUGGAAUUUUUUAGAGACCAAGUUGUGGGUCUAUAUAUAAACGCUCCAGAGGUACUUGGUUUGCACGUUCAGUUGCAUCCGCGUAGAGAUACCUGACUACAGCUGCGUAUAGGAUACCAAGCUAGGAUCGCGCUUUCAAUGGUUGUGGAGGAAAAUCAGAAAUCAACGAGGAACCCUAAGCAAGUUGUUAAGACAUCUGCAAGUAUUUACCAGUUGAGAAAACUCAGUCCCGUGGUGCAGCUCAGAAGAUUGUCAAGGCCUUGGUUUUAGAAGUUCGAAAAUAACGGAGUGGGAAUUUGUCAACUGUGGGCGUUGCCUCAGUAUAUAAGUUCUGGAGAAAACCUAGCCCCAAUGUUUUCUCUGUUUUACCAUUUCAUCUUGAUCUUUCCUUUUCUUUGUCGCCUUUACCUUUUUUAUUUUUAUUUUAAUCAAUUCAAAGUUUAAGAUUUUGGUGCACAAUUUCGUUUUGAUUUGUUAUAGUUUCAUUGAUGUUUAGGUUGGCGUUUGCAGAAUAUGUAAACGAGUAAUGAUAAUGAACUCCAAUCUGCGACAAGUCGAUAUAUGUUUUGAGGUUCAAACUUAAUUCGUGGUAAUAUAGUGAGAUAAUCUGGAUGGGGUAUUCAGAGUCCUACAAGGGCCAAAAGCCAGCUAUGGUAGAAACAAAACCACAAUAUUACUUCAUGGCCUAUGCUAAGACAAGAAUCUACAGGCCUGCAUCCAACACACCCAAGACUGGCAAGUGGCAAAGCCAAGUAGUCUACCAAAAGGCUGAAACAUGUGUAUGGGUUGCAUGGGGUGCUCAUUAGCCUUACGAUCUACUGAAGGCUGAAACAUGAAUGGGGAAGGGAAGUGACCGUGUCACAACUCAAGGAGCAUCUGAUCAAGCAAAAUGGAAUCGACUCUCUUAAUUCUAAAAUCACAAAAAUUAUAUGAUGGGCAGGGAAUAGUGAACUGCUAACAAAAUGCUUGCAUGGUUGAUGGCAAUAGGUUUUCAAUAUGCAAAGGUUUUUAAAACAGAACUUCUGAUAAUCACAAUUUUCCGUAUAUCAUUCAUCUUAUAUUUAUGUUAUAGGUGAAGUAUUGUGUCGAGAUGGUUGACCCAAAUUUAAGUGAAUGGGAUCAUAAUGAUUAAGAAAAUUUAAGUGAAUGGGAUCAUAAUGAUUAAGCAAUUGACAAGAAGUAUAUAUGGAUACUAAUGCUACUCAAGUGGAUCCUCUGCACACCGGAAACACAAGGAGUUACUGUUGCAUAUUAUAAGACCCAUGAAUUCCCAGCGUCUUUUACCCAAACAAUUGGCUGCCAGAGCAGCAAACACAAACGGAUGCAAGGUGGUUUUGUUUUGGAAAAUGAUAGAGUAACCAAUACUUCAAUCCAAUUGAGAACCAUUCUGCACUUACCUCUCAAGUAUUAGGACAAAGGACAAGUUCUAGGUAGACCCUUAGCGUUCCAUAUAUCUGGAAUUUAGCGGACGAUUCCAUAGGCGAGAAAAAUGAUGAUUGUAAUAUUUUGAUGAAGCAUAUGGUUUUUUUCGAGGAAGCAAAAGCUAAGCCGUACAAAGGUUUAUGCAGGAUAAGCAGGAAUGGUUGUGCAACCAUUUCUUUUCACCUAAAUUUAAGCUGAGUUCAAAGAACGAUGGGUUGGUAAUAACGGGGAAUAAAUUUUACCAAAUUGCACAGACCAAGUUGUGGGUCUAUAUAUAAACGCUCCAGAGGUACUUGGUUUGCACGUUCAGUUGCAUCCGCGUAGAGAUACCUGACUACAGCUGCGUAUAGGAUACCAAGCUAGGAUCGCGCUUUCAAUGGUUGUGGAGGAAAAUCAGAAAUCAACGACGAACCCUAAGCAAGGUUUGUAAGCUAGCCAAAUUACCACUGUAAUGUUGAUUGUUUUUUUUCUUCUAAAUUUUGUUUCAUGAUUCUGGUGUUGUCGGAGUAUGGGAUAUUUAAUCUACCCUUUGCUUUUUGUGGGGUUUAAUUGUGCGGUAGGAAGUGCUUCGCAUGAAAACAAACUGUAAGUGAACAGUUUGGAACUGUGUUUGGAUCUCCCUAAUAAGUUUUUCCUUUUGUUUAGUAUCUCUAGCAGAAUUUCAUGGUUUUCUCAUACAAUGGUGUAAGUGCUGGUAUAUAUUUGUUUCAAUUGGUCUUGGAGAUUCUGAG